GCAGCUUUCACGGUCUUUCAGCGACUCACUCACCAGCAGCACGCAGCAAAAAUGUCCUCUCCAAUAUCCAUAAUGCCAAACAACAUGAACGAGUCAAUCUUCUGUACCGACGUGGUCUGCUAUCCUAUGCCUUUUGCGGGAUCCCUGUGUGAGGCGGAUGCAGGAUGAUGGCUGUGUCAGCUGCUGCAGAAUCUCCAGAGAUGACUGCUGCUGAAACACCACACUCUGCCAGGCAGUGGAACCACAGGAGUUAAUGCAUCCUGACAAAGGAGCUCCAACAAGAGGACUGCUGCCCUCUGCAUCCAGUCAUUCUCCUGGGUUAAGCGUUGGGAGAUGAAACUUGAGAGAAGAUGUCCCAGCUGUGAUGUUCACUGUUGGCAGUCUUUGUCCGACACAAUACUUUGCAGUCUCCUGGUUUAAGCGUUGGGAGAUGAAACUUGAGAGAAGAUGUCCCAGCUGUGAUGUUCACUGUUGAGCAGUCUUUGGCCGACAGGUGACAAGCGGCACUGCGAAGGAGAUGGCUCAUUUUCCUGAUGGAAAACAAAUGUGCUUUUUAUUUUUAUAAAUAGACUUUUUUCAUUUUAGUUUGCUGCAUCUGACUGGCAACAUUUGACAUGCACAUGGUACAUCCAGGCAGAAUGCAUCCGCUGUACAUGAAAUGUAAAACGGAAUCCUGAAAAUAAAACUAUUCGACUACA